AGAACCACUGGGGAUUGCAUCCUACUCUGCCGUGGAUUCUGCAGGAGAAUCACAUGGAGACAAGACUGAAAAGUGAACGUGAUUGGAUUACCAGUAGCCUGAUGCGAAAUUAUGGUGCAGUGUUUCCUCUCUCCUGUGGUUAAUGGUGCGUCUUAGGCGGGUCAGAGUUAAUAAGGCUAAAGGAUUCCUGAAGGGCAGCCUUAUAAAGGUAGGAUUUUUCUUAUACAUUGCAUGUUGCCUUAUAUCUAUGUAAUCAGUGGGGGAGUGAAUAGUGCAUUAGUGACUAAAAGGAAGAUCAUCGACAACUUUUAGCCGACCUUCUUAUGGUAGUUAUGACAAUCGUCUCAUCCUAAUUUUAGUGACGUAGGGUUUUCCGCAAUAAUUGUUCAAGAGUCUCUUUUGUGGCACCAUCAGUUUACUUCAUAUUAAUCAGUAUGACUGUGACUUCAUAGCCAUACCAGUUUUAUGAAG